GUCCUAGAGAGAAGAUGGAAUCGUUUUGUUUUAUUAGGUGUAUAAGGAAACUAUUCAAACAAUUUAAAAUUGAAACAGCUCCUUUAAUGAUAUAUAAAUAUAAUAAGCUGUAUACGUGACAGUCUGUAUAAUGAUCUCUGAUUGACCUUAAAUCUUUUAAGUAGGUACAAAUAUGAU